AACGAACGCUGGCGGCAUGCCUAACACAUGCAAGUCGAACGAGACCUUCGGGUCUAGUGGCGCACGGGUGCGUAACGCGUGGGAACCUGCCCUUAGGUUCGGAAUAACUCCCCGAAAGGGGUGCUAAUACCGGAUAAUGUCUUCGGACCAAAGACUUAUCGCCUUUGGAUGGGCCCGCGUUGGAUUAGCUAGUUGGUAGGGUAAAAGCCUACCAAGGCGACGAUCCAUAGCUGGUCUGAGAGGAUGAUCAGCCACACUGGGACUGAGACACGGCCCAGACUCCUACGAGAGGCAGCAGUGGGGAAUAUUGGACAAGGGGCGAAAGCCUGAUCCAGCAAUGCCGCGUGAGUGAUGAAGGCCUUAGGGUUGUAAAGCUCUUUUACCCGGGAUGAUAAUGACAGUACCGGGAGAAUAAGCUCCGGCUAACUCCGUG
rnacentral:rRNA from 1 species